GACAACUGACAUCUACCGAACAGGAA
rnacentral:piRNA from 1 species